rnacentral:tRNA from 1 species
GGGGCCAUAGGACAGCCUGGUCUAGUCUUCCAGCUUGGGGUGCUGGCGACCUGAGUUCAAAUCUCGGUGGCCCCA